rnacentral:RNase_MRP_RNA from 1 species
CUUGGGGAAAUUCCCCGGACGUAAGGGCAGAGAGUACCACCCGGAAAAAGGGACUUCGGCGCAGAUGCCGCUCCUUGUGGCAAAGAGGACCACAUCUCUUCUGGUGUGGUAAGAGCUUGGGAGACGGCUCUGUUAACCAGCCGCUGUCUGAUCAAAGUUAUGCUGUUCAGAACACAACGGGGGUCACU